GUCCCCUGUCCAUAGGAGCAGGACAUCCCAGACUCAAGAAGCUCAUAAACCCACAAGCACUCUGUCCUUCAUCUCCCCACCACAGCCUCCUAGACAAGACCCCAAAUCACCCCACAUACUUUGCUCCCAACCCAAUGCCUGCUCCAGGCAAUCUCAUGUCUCCUACCCUAAUCCCUGGGGUUUGCCCUGCUCUCAGAGCAAAGUCUCCCCACCAGGAACAGCCACCAACCCAAACCCCAAGGAAUGGUCCAGAAUCUCAGGCCCUCCUGUGUCCCUGGAUCCCCAGCCCUGGUCCUCUGCCCCCUUCAAACCCACAGCCCAGCUCCCUCUCUUAGCCCAGUCCCUGGGCCCUCCUGCCAAGCCUGCCCUCCCUGACCCAGCACUCCCUCUGCAGAUGCUGUGA
rnacentral:lncRNA from 1 species